rnacentral:rRNA from 1 species
UACGUAGGGUGCGAGCGUUGUCCGGAAUUAUUGGGCGUAAAGAGCUCGUAGGCGGUGUGUCGCGUCGGCCGUGAAAACCUGCAGCUUAACUGUGGGCUUGCGGUCGAUACGGGCAUCACUGGAGUUCGGCAGGGGAGACUGGAAUUCCUGGUGUAGCGGUGAAAUGCGCAGAUAUCAGGAGGAACACCCGGUGGGCGAAGGCGGGUCUCUGGGCCGAUACUGACGC